rnacentral:rRNA from 1 species
GACGAACGCUGGCGGCGUGCUUAGCACAUGCAAGUCGAACGGAAAGGCCUCUUUCGGGGGGUACUCGAGUGGCGAACGGGUGAGUAACACGUGAGUAACCUGCCCUUGACUUUGGGAUAACUUCAGGAAACUGGGGCUAAUACCGGAUAGGAGCUCCUGCUGCAUGGUGGGGGUUGGAAAGUUUCGGCGGUUGGGGAUGGACUCGCGGCUUAUCAGCUUGUUGGUGGGGUAGUGGCUUACCAAGGCUUUGACGGGUAGCCGGCCUGAGAGGGUGACCGGCCACAUUGGGACUGAGAUACGGCCCAGACUCCUACGGGAGGCAGCAGGGGGGAAUAUUGCACAAUGGGUGGAAGCCGGAUGCAGCAACGCCGUGGGCGGGAGGACGGCCUUCGGGUUGUAAACCGCUUUCGCUCAUGACGAAGCUUUGUGUGACGGUAGUGGGUAAAGAAGCACCGGCUAACUACGUG